AUUGAACGCUGGCGGCAUGCCUUACACAUGCAAGUCGAACGGCAGCACGGGAGCAAUCCUGGUGGCGAGUGGCGAACGGGUGAGUAAUAUAUCGGAACGUGCCCGGUCGUGGGGGAUAACGUAGCGAAAGCUACGCUAAUACCGCAUACGAUCUACGGAUGAAAGCGGGGGAUCGCAAGACCUCGCGCGAUUGGAGCGGCCGAUAUCAGAUUAGGUAGUUGGUGAGGUAAAGGCUCACCAAGCCGACGAUCUGUAGCUGGUCUGAGAGGACGACCAGCCACACUGGGACUGAGACACGGCCCAGACUCCUACGGGAGGCAGCAGUGGGAAUUUUGGACAAUGGGCGCAAGCCUGAUCCAGCAAUGCCGCGUGCAGGAUGAA
rnacentral:rRNA from 1 species